rnacentral:rRNA from 1 species
UGGGGAAUUUUGGGACAAUGGGCGAAAGCCUGAUCCAGCAAUGCCGCGUGUGUGAAGAAGGCCUUCGGGUUGUAAAGCACUUUUGUCCGGAAAGAAAAUCCUUGGCUCUAAUACAGUCGGGGGAUGACGGUACCGGAAGAAUAAGCACCGGCUAACUACGUGCCAGCAGCCGCGGUAAUACGUAGGGUGCAAGCGUUAAUCGGAAUUACUGGGCGUAAAGCGUGCGCAGGCGGUUUGCUAAGACCGAUGUGAAAUCCCCGGGCUCAACCUGGGAACUGCAUUGGUGACUGGCAGGCUAGAGUAUGGCAGAGGGGGGUAGAAUUCCACGUGUAGCAGUGAAAUGCGUAGAGAUGUGAGGAUACCGAUGGCGAAGGCAGCCCCCUGGGCCAAUACUGACGCUCAUGCACGAAAGCGUGGGGAGCAAACAGGAUUAGAUACCCCUGGUAGUCCACGCCCUAAAACGAUGUCAACUAGUUGUU